GACGAACGCUGGCGGCGUGCCUAAUACAUGCAAGUAGAACGCUGAAGGAGGAGCUUGCUCUUCUGGAUGAGUUGCGAACGGGUGAGUAACGCGUAGGUAACCUGCCUGGUAGCGGGGGAUAACUAUUGGAAACGAUAGCUAAUACCGCAUAACAGUAGAUGUUGCAUGACAUUUACUUAAAAGGUGCAAUUGCAUCACUACCAGAUGGACCUGCGUUGUAUUAGCUAGUUGGUGGGGUAACGGCUCACCAAGGCGACGAUACAUAGCCGACCUGAGAGGGGGAUCGGCCACACUGGGACUGAGACACGGCCCAGACUCCUACGGGAGGCAGCAGUAGGGAAUCUUCGGCAAUGGACGGAAGUCUGACCGAGCAACGCCGCGUGAGUGAAGAAGGUUUUCGGAUCGUAAAGCUCUGUUGUAAGAGAAGAACGAGUGUGAGAGUGGAAAGUUCACACUGUGACGGUAUCUUACCAGAAAGAGACGGCUAACUACGUG
rnacentral:rRNA from 1 species